GAAGUCUGUAUUUUGAAUGUAUAUUGUCACUUUAUUUCGCCUACAACCUUCACGCGAACUCAGCAAAAAAGGGAAAACCCUAUUUUACAGCGGCUUCAAAUCAGGUCCUUAUUAGUGCGACCAAUUGGCCUUUCUUCCUUAAAAUGGCGAUUGCCGUUUAAGGAAUAUCACUAGAAGCCGUUAGCAGCUAUUAUUUAAAUUGGUAGUUUCAACAAGUAAAUCGAAGAAGGCAUAUCUCUUUAUACUUUGAGUGGCAACUCAAGAAAUUGUUAAAAUUAGCUGUUAAAAAUUUGCCAUAAAUAUAGAGAGUGAAUGUCGUUUUGUUUACUAACAGUAGUACUCAUGUACUCUAAUCUAAAUAGCUGUUUAUUUCCAAAAAAAAUAGUUUUAUAGCUUAUUAUUCGUAAUAAUUAGUAUUCAACCUUAGAUUUGUAAUAUGCGCUCCGUUGCAAAUGCAAAAAGAUACUAUUAGAGAAGAGCCGAUUUUUUAAAU